rnacentral:rRNA from 1 species
CGGUGGAGUAUGUGGUUUAAUUCGAUGCAACGCGAAGAACCUUACCUGGUCUUGACAUCCCGGAGACCCUUAGGAAACUAGGGGGUGCUUCCAUCUGGAAGAAUCUGGAGACAGGUGCUGCAUGGCUGUCGUCAGCUCGUGUCGUGAGAUGUUGGGUUAAGUCCCGCAACGAGCGCAACCCUUGCCUUUAGUUGCCAGCAGUUCGGCUGGGCACUCUAAAGGGACUGCCGGUGUUAAACCGGAGGAAGGUGGGGAUGACGUCAAGUCCUCAUGGCCUUUAUGACCAGGGCUACACACGUACUACAAUGGCCGAUACAAAGGGCAGCGACACUGCGAGGUGAAGCCAAUCCCGUAAAAUCGGUCUCAGUCCGGAUUGGAGUCUGCAACUCGACUCCAUGAAGUUGGAAUCGCUAGUAAUCGUGGAUCAGCAUGCCACGGUGAAUACGUUCCCGGGCCUU